rnacentral:rRNA from 1 species
GUAGGGAAUAUUGCGCAAUGGGGGAAACCCUGACGCAGCGACGCCGCGUGAGUGAUGAAGGCCUUCGGGUCGUAAAGCUCUGUUGCAGGGGAAUAAAAAAAUGAAGGUACCCUGUGAGGAAGGAUCGGCUAACUUCGUGCCAGCAGCCGCGGUAAGACGAGGGAUCCUAGCGUUGCUCGGAAUCAUUGGGCGUAAAGAGGGCGUAGGUGGCUUGGUAAGUCAGGUGUGAAAGCCCAGGGCUCAACCCUGGAAGUGCAUUUGAUACUGCUGAGCUUGAGUGUCGGAGAGGUUACCGGAAUACCUGGUGUAGUGGUGAAAUACGUAGAUAUCAGGUGGAACACCGGAGGCGAAGGCGGGUAACUGGACGAACACUGACACUGAGGCCCGAAAGCGUGGGGAGCAAACAGGAUUAGAUACCCGGGUAGUCC